GGGUGUGAGGUUUCUUGGGCUGUUUGUUGAAAGCAAUACUCUGCAGCUUCUUCACCAGCUCUUGAUGGGGUGAGAGGAGCGACUGUCAAAGGGGUGGUUUGGUCUGCAGGACAUUUGCUGUGGAAGGAGUAAGAGAAUCGAGUGUGUGAUUGGUAUUCUUGGAAAUUGGUCCAACAGUCUUUCCAGGCUCUGGCCCUUGAGCUGCCUGUUUGGCCUUGGAGACUUCUGACACAGAGCAAUUUCCCUGCUAAAAUCUUCUGCAAGGUCUUGGCAGGGCUUAAAAAGAGUUACUCCUGCUGCUUCUGGGUGACAGAAUUGAUCCUGACUUUGAGAGGAUGUACUACUAGGCUUUAAACUUUCCUGUCCUCUGCAAGAAGACACUUUGUUCUUUGAAAGGACAAAUGCCUUAUUCAAAUCUCUGAUGAUUAUGCUGAUGCCUCUGUUUUGGUACUUAAUCCUGUAAUUUUAUUAAUUAAAAAUAGAGGCAAAGCAAUAAUGGGAGUGGUGGGGGGGCACUUUAAAAUACAAGUUUUCUUGGAGUCAGCAGCUACCUCUGCUUUUCUGCUGUAGUAGCAGCUUUGUUUGCCAACAAAACAUGUGGCAGGUUCUCCUAGAGGGAGAUCUGAGGCUGGAAGGAGCCUUCAAGCUUGUGAUCCUUUCUGCACCACCUGUGCUGCUUCAUGGAUAUCUGGGAAUGGAAGGGUUGGGUUAUCUGGGAAUGGGAGGGUUGGGUUAUCUGGGAAUGGGAGGGUUGGGUUAUCUGGGAAUGGGAGGGUUGGGUUAUCUGGGAAUGGAAGGGUUGGGUUAUCUGGGAAUGGGAGGGUUGGGUUAUCUGGGAAUGGGAGGGUUGGGUUAUCUGGGAAUGGAAGGGUUGGGUUAUCUGGGAAUGGAAGGGUUGGGUUAUCUGGGAAUGGAAGGGUUGGGUUAUCUGGACUCCAGUCCUUUGUUCCUGUGCAGUUUGCUUUGUGCACCUCACGAGCUCUGCUUGUUUUGCUGUGCUCUGUGCCAACCUCCGGGCACUGUUGCCUGUGCUCAUUCCAGGGAAUUCCAAGGUUUGUCUGCUUUAGCUUGGACAGGAGACAGCAAAGGAUUUGGGGCCUUUGGAGCUCAGGGAGAAGCCAAACAACUCCACUUGACCAAAGCAUCUGUCCAGUCAUUCGGGUGCUCUGCAGUGAAGCUGUAGAAAUUGCUGUGUUGUGUUUCCAAAAUGUUUGCCACAUGGCUGGGCUCGUUCCAGCCUGGCAUUGCCCUGGCAUCCAACAGAGCUGCAGCCUUAAUUCUCCACAUUCAAAAGUGCCUCCCUUGGUGCCUUUGGCAAACCCUCUGCACGUCUGUCUUGCUUCCUCCAGCUUGGUUUGGUGGCCAAACUCUGGCCCUGUUUCUCUGUACCCAAAGUUUGUUUUCUGAAGGGUUUCUGAUCCAAUCCUCCUGCUGAAGCAAGAUGCAGGAGUGUGAAUUCAACCACAGUGGUCCCAUUUUUGCCUGUUUAUUCACUUUUCAGCAAUGCACAAAGCACAUUAAUUAAGGCUCUUGCUCCUUCCAGCAGUGGAACUGAAGCAUUAGCUGGGGAUGGUUUCAGAUGUGCUUUUUAACAACAAAUCUGGGGGAUGUUAAUCAGACUCAGGAGCUGGAAGACACCAAGAAUUACAAAAGCUGAUGGGCACAGCUGGAUGUGAGGGGUUAUGGGCCUCAUAACUUUAGAACCCUUCAUAACUCUGGGCUUUGGAUCUAUACAGAGAUCUAAAGGGGUUGAGCCUUUCCUGUCCCCUUCUCUUGAAUACAUAACACAAAGAAAUAUGAGGUUUUCAGCAGUGUCUCACCAGAGUGUUGUUUGCAUUUAUUGCAAUAUAAUCACGUAAUCACUUCAGCAGAUGUUGCCUGGAUCUUCCCAGGCUGCAGAAGGCACCAACAGAAAUCCACCCCGUGUUCAAGUGGGCUUGGGGAAGCAUUUUGGAGGCAUUGCUUGCCCUGUGACAAUCUCCUGGGCUGAGUUUCCUAAGGAUGUGUUUGCCAGAGGAGAAGCAAAGGCUGUGGGAGGGCACCCCAAGGCAGGGGUCACUCUGUCCCUGCCCCUCUCAUCUUCCUGAUAACCCUUGGCAGAGGCAGGGCAGGGGGAUAAAUGCUCUGUCCUGGGGUGCAACAGUUAACAAAGCGUUCCAAGUUUGAUUUGAGGUGGUGCAGGAGGCAGAAUUGAUUAAUCAACAGGUACAGGGCAAAACAAGCACAUCUUGUCUGACUGAGAGAAAUUAAUGGUGGGUUUUAUCAACAUUUUUCUCUUGAGCUGUGAACACCUGUGGUUCAGACAGCUCUUCCCAGCCAUCCUUCUUGGCUGAGUGCCUUUGUCUGUCUUCACUGCCCCUGACACUGUGUCUGUGCUUGAGUUCCUGUGAGCUUUUGUUGAGACAGCAACAUUUUCUUAUUUGCUGUUGGUUCCACCAGUCUCUUCCAAAGCUGGGUUUAAUAAAAGCAGGUUUGAUGCUGGUUAAAUGCAGUGGUGUGUGAAAUCUCGGCCCUGUAGAAAUUCAGGAAUUUUGGCUGUUGGUUUCUCUGGGCCAAUGAUUCCCUAUUUUUUUUUUUUUUUUGCCUAUUUAUCCCUCCCCAAUUCCAUGGGCCUUCUCUGCUGUGUUGCUGGAGGUGACUGGGAAAGCUGUGCUACAUCUUAAUCUAAAUUUGUCUGCAGGUCUGGCUUGUCUGAUUUUUUUUUCCUGUGUCACACCAUCAAAUUUUCCUCUAUAUAGGUUAUUGCCUUUGUAAAUCUGGCAUUUAACUGUGUAAGCUUAGUAGGGAUGGGGCUUAGUGUGCCAAAUAAAGCUCUGCUGUGAUUUUACACUGCUGCUUUACUGCUGCAGUUUCUUGCAGGAGGGGAAAAACUUCCAGCUCCCUGGGAAGGAUGGCCCAGCACUGUGUGUCUGUUGUUCCAUCCCAAGGAAGGGGGUUGGAACUACAAGAUCUUUAAGGUCCCUUCCAACCCAAACUAUUCUCUGAUGGUGUUUACAUGUAUUUAACGUGUCAUUGAAAAUGAUUGGCUCGCACUAAACCUCAUAUUUUUUGUUCUCUGUGCUCAACGUGCCCCAGGAGUGUACAACAGGAAAAUAUCUGGGGGGUUUUCCUGUUGGUAAGUGUUGUUGUUUUGGGAUAUUCAACCCCAUCUUUCUCUCCAAGGUGUUACCAGGUCGCUGGGAUGCACAGAAGGGAAGCACUGCAGCUGCCCCCAGACCCAUGGGGGAUUAUUCAGGUGGUUUAUGGGUGUCAUUGGAAGGCACUUGCAGAGUUGUUUUUUAUGAGAGGGUGUGUAUUUAUGUAUAUGCAUGCAGGAAAGAUGUAGCCCUGACUUUGCAGCUUUAAAAGGGGAAUUUUAAUGUAUUAAUCUGCAGGUUUCUGAGUAGCACUAUCUGCAUAGUAAUAAUAACAAUGGAAAAAGGAGGAAAAAGAGAAGGAAGGGGAUGGGGGGAGGCUCCUCCCUCACCCAUCACUGCCAAUCCUGCCCUUUUAUAAAACAAAGUGGUGGGUUUAAGUUGAAGUGUCCUUGC